rfam:Brachypodium distachyon strain Bd21 chromosome 2, whole genome shotgun sequence.
CAUCUACUCCCUCCGAUCUAUAUUGCUUGUCACAGCUUUGUCUAAACAGUCAUGUAUCUAGACACGUUUUAUUGUGUAGAUACAUGCGUAUUUAGACGAAACCGCGACAAGUAAUAUAAAUCGGAGGAAGUAGAAU